CUCCAGCUGAUGAGUCCCAAAUACGACGAAACGCGCGUUCUGGAU
rnacentral:hammerhead_ribozyme from 1 species